GACGAACGCUGGCGGCAGGCUUACACAUGCAAGUCUCACGAUAACGUUCUGGCUUCGGCCGGGACAGUACGGUGGCGGACGGGUGCGUAUCGCGUAGAUAACCUGCCCUCGGGCGCGGGACAAUCACGGGAAACCGUGGCUAAUACCGCACGUCGUCUGGACCCCGCAUGGGGACCAGAUGAAAGCCUUCGGGCGCCUUUGGAUGGGUCUGCGUUGGAUUAGCUUGUUGGUGAGGCAACGGCUCACCAAGGCAACGAUCCAUAGCUGGUCUGAGAGGACGAUCAGCCACACUGGGACUGAUACACGGCCCACACUCCUACGGGAGGCAGCAGUGGGGAAUCUUGCACAAUGGGGUCACCCCUGAUGCAGCCAUGCCGCGUGGAGGAAGACACCCCUAUGGGGCGUAAACUCCUUUUCUGAAUGAAGAAACCCCUGUAGGUUCAGGGCGCGACGGUAGUUCACGAAUAAGCACCGGCUAACUCCGUGCCAGCAGCCGCGGUAAUACGGAGGGUGCAAGCGUUGUCCGGAAUCACUGGGUGUAAAGGGUGUGCAGGCGGGGCAACAAGUCGGAUGUGAAACCCCAUGGCUCAACCAUGGAGGUGCAUUCGAAACUGUUGCUCUUGAGUCCCGGAGAGGCUGUCGGAAUUCGUGGUGUAGCGGUGAAAUGCGUAGAUAUCACGAGGAACACCAGAGGCGAAAGCGGGCAGCUGGACGGGUACUGACGCUCAGGCACGAAAGCGUGGGGAGCAAACAGGAUUAGAUACCCUGGUAGUCCACGCCGUAAACGAUGAACGCUCGCCGUUGCCCCGUCAAGGGGCAGUGGCUAAGUUAACGCGUUAAGCGUUCCACCUGGGGAGUACGAUCGCAAGGUUGAAACUCAAAGGAAUUGACGGGGGCCCGCACAAGCGGUGGAGCAUGUGGCUCAAUUCGAUGCAACGCGAAGAACCUUACCUAGGCUCGAACGCUAAAGGACCGCUCCUGAAAGGGAGCUUCCCCUUUGGGGCCUUUAGCGAGGUACUGCAUGGCUGUCGUCAGCUCGUGUCGUGAGAUGUUGGGUUAAGUCCCGCAACGAGCGUAACCCUUGUCGCUAGUUACCAGCGGGUAAUGCCGGGGACUCUAGUGAGACCGCCUGCGCAAGCAGUGAGGAAGGUGGGGAUGACGUCAAGUCAUCAUGGUCCUUACGCCUAGGGCUGCACACGUGCUACAAUGGCCGGUACAACGAGCAGCCACCUCGCGAGAGGGAGCGAAUCUCUGAAAGCCGGUCCCAGUUCGGAUUGGAGUCUGCAACUCGACUCCAUGAAGCAGGAAUCGCUAGUAAUCGCGGAUCAGCAAUGCCGCGAUGAAUCCGUUCCCGGGCCUUGUACACACCGCCCGUCAAGCCAUGGAAGCUGAGAGCACCCGAAGUCCGUGACUCAACUCUAGCAUUAGCUAGAGAGAGAGCGGCCGAAGGUGAGCUCAGUGACUGGGGCU
rnacentral:rRNA from 1 species